rnacentral:rRNA from 1 species
GACAGAGGGUGCAAACGUUGUUCGGAAUUACUGGGCGUAAAGCGAGUGUAGGCGGUUUGGAAAGUCGGAUGUGAAAUCCCGGGGCUCAACCUCGGAACUGCCUUUGAUACAGCACGUCUCGAGUCCGGAAGAGGUGGGUGGAAUUCCUAGUGUAGAGGUGAAAUUCGUAGAUAUUAGGAAGAACACCGGUGGCGAAGGCGGCCCACUGGUCCGGUACUGACGCUGAGGUGCGAAAGCGUGGGGAGCAAACAGG